CUGAAAUUCAUUCUGCAAGAGCUCAAAAGAAUCACCACUGCCACCCCUCUGUGUCUCUCAGAGGAGACGGCUGACCAAUCAGAGGCUGAGCCUGCACUGUCCGUCAGCAGCAGCUGUGUCACCUGUCGCUAGGCGUCACGGCAGACUUCAGCGCGGCUCGAUGAGAGAGAUGGAGGGAGGGAGAGAGAGAGUUCCACAGGAGCUCCUCUCCGUGGUAACCUGGUGCACGGGCUCACUCAGGCACACAUCAAGCUGCCCGCACCUCAUUCCAGCCUCAAUGAGAGUCAUGCUAACAGCGUGCAAUGCCUCACCCCUCUCUGUCUGUCCACCUCUCUCUAUCACUCUACCCCUCUGUCUGUCCAUCGCUCUCUCUAUCACUCUACCAUCUGUCUGUCUGUCUGUCUGUCUGUCCAUCUCUCUCUCUAUCACUCUACCCCUCUGUCUGUCUGUCUGUCCAUCUCUCUCUAUCACUCUACCCCUCUGUCUGUCUGUCUGUCUGUCUGUCUGUCCACCUCUCUCUAUCACUCUACCCCUCUGUCUGUCCAUCUCUCUCUCUAUCACUCUACCAUCUGUCUGUCUGUCUGUCUGUCUGUCCGUCCAUCUCUCUCUCUAUCACUCUACCCCUCUGUCUGUCCAUCUCUCUCUCUAUCACUCUACCCUCUGUCUGUCUGUCUGUCUGUCUGUCCAUCUCUCUCUCUAUCACUCUACCCUCUGUCUGUCUGUCUGUCCAUAUCUCGCUCCAUCACUCUAACCCUCUCUCUGUCCGCUAUCUCUCUCUCCAUCACUCUACCCCUCUCUGUCUGUCCAUCUCUCCAUCACUCUACAUCUCUUUCUGUCCAUCUCUCCAUCACUCACUCUACCUCUUCUCUCUCUCUCUGUCCAUCUCUGUCUCACUUACUCACUCUACCCAUCUCUCAUCCCUCACCUCCUCUUGUCUCUGGCUCUCUCUCUCUCUCUCUCUCCAUCCUCCCUCUCAAUUGCUCAUUCUGUGUCUCACCCUCUCUUUCUACCUCUCUUCUGUUAAGCACAGUCCUCUUUCGGAGUGUUGCUUUCAUUUUUACAUUCCAUCCAGCGUUAUUGCAU
rnacentral:lncRNA from 1 species